UGAAGUUUGAAUUUAGAACAGUUCCUUGAUGU
rnacentral:piRNA from 1 species